AGCGAACGUUUGCGGCGGGCCUAACACAUGCAAGUCGAACGCACUAGCAAUAGUGAGUGGCGCACGGGUGCGUAACACGUGGGUAAUCAACCCUUCAGCCUGGGAUAACGACUCGAAAGGGUCGCUAAUACCGGAUACGGCGCGAGAGGCUUCGGCUUCUCACGAGAAAGCCACGCAAGGGGCACUGAAGGACGAGCCUGCGGCCCAUCAGCUAGUUGGUGAGGUAAGAGCUCACCAAGGCUAAGACGGGUAGGCUGGUCUGAGAGGAUGAUCAGCCACACUGGAACUGAGACACGGUCCAGACUCCUACGGGAGGCAGCAGUGGGGAAUAUUGCGCAAUGGGCGAAAGCCUGACGCAGCCACGCCGCGUGAGCGAUGAAGGCCUCGGUCGUAAGGACGUCUGUGGGAGGAGA
rnacentral:rRNA from 1 species